UAAUAAAAAUAAAGUUGGAAUCUCAAAACUAUUGAUGGCAAUGGCAAGUUCAUUAAAGACUACAGCAACCAUCUGCCUCCUGUUUGCGCUCUUUUUUUCUACUGAGAUUGGUCCAAUGAUGCUUGGAGAAUCACAUAACUGUGAUGAUUUUAGCAAGCUUUGCUUGACCGCUAAAUCUUGCACUAAAUAUUGCCUUA